rnacentral:tRNA from 1 species
GAGGGUGUAGCUCAGUGGUAGAGCACAUGCUUAGCCUGCAUGAGGUCCUGGGUUCAAUCCCCAGUACUUCCA